ACGUAGGUGGCGAGCGUUGUCCGGAAUCAUUGGGCGUAAAGAGCGCGUAGGUGGCUUGUCAGGUCUGAUGUGAAAACCUGGGGCUCAACUCCAGGCCUGCAUCGGAAACCGGCUUGCUAGAGUCUGGGAGAGGAGAGUGGAAUUCCUGGUGUAGCGGUGAAAUGCGUAGAUAUCAGGAGGAACACCGGUAGCGAAGGCGGCUCUCUGGAACAGUACUGACACUGAGGCGCGAAAGCUAGGGGAGCAAACAG
rnacentral:rRNA from 1 species